rnacentral:rRNA from 1 species
UGAGGAACAUGACCUUCGGCGGGGGAUAGCCGGCCCAACGGCCGGGUAAUACCGCGUACGACCACUCGGGGACAUCCCUAGGUGGUGAAAGCAGCAAUGCGCCGAUGGAGUGCCUCGCGGCCUAUCAGCUAGUUGGUGAGGUAACGGCUCACCAAGGCAACGACGGGUAGCUGGUCUGAGAGGAUGGCCAGCCACAUUGGGACUGGGACACGGCCCAGACUCCGUACGGGGAGGCAG